AUGCAUCUCGGUUUCAGCAUAUAUGGAAUUAUUGUCUGCAUAGAUGUACUUGAGUUUUGAAAGGUUGAAGAAGGGUCCUAAUGAGCAUGGGAUUUGAAAGUAAUUAUUUGAGAGUGUCAACAUUUAGAGGGAUGUUAGUCUCUUAAAGGAAAAUAUAUUUUCAGAAAACUGGUUGGAAGAGAGAUCUAAACUUUAAAGGGAUGUUAGAUUUUAAAGGAUUGAUAUAUUUCCAGAAAAUUGAUUGGAAGAGAGAUCUAAUAUUUCAAGAGACCUGAGGUGGACAAGCAUUCGGGCAACUUACCCUUUAGAUUAUUGUAGUGGAUGCCAAGCUCUCGAUGAUGUUUUAAUUCACAAAAUCUUGUAAAUAUUUAAUUAUAUUAAUUAUUAGAUAUUUAAAGAAAACGAACAGAAAAGAGAAAAAACACAUAAACAAAUAAAUAUGAAGGAUACGGAGAAGCAAAACCAGAAGAGUGGAAAGAGCUGAAAAAAUUGUUUCUCUCUAUUGAAAAAUGGAAUGAAGAGUUCAUUACACCGGUGCACUUUAAAUGGGUGGCAGUUAGAGGGGUGCUGUUACAUGCAUGGAGUUAUGACGCCUUUGAAAGCUUAGCAAAGUUUUGGGAAGAAUUAAUAGAAGUGGAGGAGCACACUAUGGACUGUAGGAGCUUUGAGGCACGCAUCAUGCUGAUGGCAACAGAAAAUCAGCAGAGGAUAGAGGAGACGGUUAAAAUGCAGGUGAAAGCAAGAAGCGAUCAAGUGAUGGCGGUGGAGUUCCAAAGAACAGAAAAGCAGACGAAAAUGGAGGGAGAUGACGAUAGCAGUGAUAAAAUAGAGAAAUGAGAGGAAAACUCGAGCAAUAAUUAAUAAUCAAAAACAAAGAGGAAAGCAGACGGAGGAUCGGAAGAUCAGGAUUAAUUAAGAUUGUUUAAAGAUUAUAUAUUUAAGAUAAAUUUUUUUGAUUAAAUAUAACAUAUAAAACAUAUAAAAAAUACUCAAGAUAAUUUUUUUAUAUAAUCAGAAUUAAUUAAAAAAUGAUACAAUGAUAAAAUUUUAAGUAACAAUGCAACAGUAUAAUUUAUAUUUGAAAAUUAUAUAAUAAUUUAUUAAUUUUUAAAAAUUAAAAUCAUAAAAAAUAAAAUUCACAUACCAAAAAAAAGACAAACAUGACAUAUAAAAGAUGAAAUUCACAUAUGACAUAACAAAAAAAAAUAUGGUUGAUAGUUUAUAAAAAUUUAGAAAAGUAAAUCUAUAAAAACUUAAAAUGUAUGAGCAAACAGUAUAAAAAAUAUAAAUAAAAAUAAUAAUAUUAAUAAACAAAAUGAAAAAACUUUAAAAUUUAGUGAGACAUGAGAAAUAUUUUUUGUUAUCUUUUAUUUGUAUUAAUUAUUAAAUAAAAAAUUAUUGGAGGUACAAUUAAAAGAAUAUAUUAAAAAAUUUUAAAAUUUUAUAUAAUAUAAAAAAAUUUUAAAAAUUUUAGAAGGCCACGUGAGGCUCCGCCCCUAGGGAUGCCGGUUGCUGCUGUUGGUGUUGAAUUUUGUUAAUUUCCUGUUUGGAUUUAACUCGCUGUGUUGCCUAUGUAUGCUUGGUUUUUUUGGGAGAAGCAUUUUGUAUGAUGUAGGGCUGUGUCUGAAAGGUUUGGUGCGCUGCUAUGGGACUGUAUAGGGUGAUCUCUAUUUGUAAAGGGCUGGUACAAGAACGUUAUGUACAGGAGUUUAGAAAUUCAGGAUGAGUUGGUAUACGUGGGUGAUUCAAUUUUCAAUUAAUCACGUUUGCUACAAUUUAUUGAUCAGUCUUAGUUCCUAUCUUCAAGUUCAAUAUUAAAGUCUUCAAUUGGUAAUGAGCCAUCUACACGCCUCUUGGAAAGUGCAGUGGCAGCUGCCUUGUCAAUAGAGAUAGCUAUGCGUUAGCAACUAGUGAAUUUGCACAACAAUAUGCAAUGGUACAGAAAAAAAUACACAGAAAUGAAUUCUUUUCCAAGAGUACCAAAUCCUGAAAGGAUGAUCACUUCAGAAUGCAGGAAAACUAUAAAAUAGUCACAUCCAGUAAAAAACAUCAUCAUUUCGUCAAACUUGCCAAACAGGUCCUUGUACUAUUUGCAGAGGUAAGUCCUUGGUUCAUCUUUAAAGUUGAAAGAGUGGGAGAGACAUUUUUUAAGUUAUUUUCCCCUCUUCAAAUAACAACACUGAAAUUUGCAGUUAAGGCAGUCGGUUCUCCAAUUAGACACUUCAUAUCAUCUCAACUUAGGGUAAACGAUUACUAUCUUUCUACACAGAACCAUAGUAGUAUUUCAUUAUCAAUUCAAUCAUAGAUUUCAGACUACAUUAAACCACUUUGAUUUUAAGACAUGAAACAUUGUAUCAAUUUUAUAAAAAAAAAAAAGAAAAGAGUAAAGUCAAAAUACCUCGUGGAAUUAACUAUGCUGAAAACAAAAGAUGAAAAAAGAGAAUUCCAUAUCUUUAUGUGUGAACCCAAAACAGUCACAAUUCAAUUAUAAUAUACAAGCCAAUAAAGCAUAAGGAGAAAUAACCUACAAAUAUUCCAUGAACACAAUUCCCCUGUUGGCAUAUUUGAUUGACAAGCCGAAUAACAAAAAUACAUGAAAAUCAUCAUGAAUAUCAAAACGUUUUUUCAUAUAACAAUAAAUUUGCCAACUUUGAUUAAACCCAGAAUUCCAAUAAAACCAAAAACCCAAUAAGCAGUCAGUUACUUUUCUAUUAAAUUCGAUACUAAUUAAUCAUUAAAAGAAACAGAGAGAGAAAGUUGACAAAAAAACUCACUUGACUCGAGCAAGUCUACGAGAGCGUUCUUUCUCAGCCAUCAACUCAUGUUUCAAGGACUUGCCUUCAUCAACAGAGACACGAUUGGGCAAAAUCUUAGCGUUGUUUUUGAUACCCAAUUGGCUUAACUUUUCAGCGCCGUCACCAUCUUUCAAUACUUUACUUGCACAUAUAAGGUUGAUAGAGUCAGGACGUUCCACAUUUGAUCGCUUGGCUACCUCUUCCCUCAACAUGGCCACCGUCCAAUUCUCCAAUUCUAACUCUAUCACUCCUGCCCAUGUCCCUCCGAUCCUUAAUUUCGCCAUGGCAGCAAAGAUGUUCUUUUUUUCUUUUCGCAAGAGAGUGAAAAUAAAAAUGGGAGAACUAAAUGGUGUCAUGUAUAUUUAUAGGUUGAGAGAAAAAAAAAGUUGACGUAUUUAUAUUUCGGGAGCAAGGUUAUGUUGUUUUAUUGGGGCUAUUACUUUGUUUUCUUCAAUGUCAUAGUGCGAUUAUGAGUCGGUACUUUUAACUUUUACUAAUAAAAAAAUAACAUUUGGAAUAAUUAAAAUUUUGAUUGGUUAUGGUAUCUCCUAAAGUCUAGUGUCAAAUUUAUAUAUAGAUGCCACAAUUGAAGUUUUUGAAUUUCAUCAUUUACCGAGCAAUUGACAUAUUUUCCCCUUAAAUUAUUAUUUAAAAAAUAGUGCUUUACUAGUAAAUCGAAUAAAGUACCAUUAUUUUUCCCUAAAAAAACGUUACUCUUUUAAAUAUUGCGGAUUUUCUUUUCAUCAUUAUAUAUCAGUUUUUUUUUUAGUUUGCAACACACUAAUAUUUGUUUACAUCAUUUUUAACAUAUUUUUCUCUUUAUAACAAAUAAAUUGCAGAAAGAAAUAAGUUUUUCUUUUUACAAUAAAAAGCCUUUUCAUAAUACGUUUAUUAAAAUUUUUAACUUAUAAUUUGAUAUUAUAGUUACAUUGAGUGAAAACUAACAAAAAAAUCUGAUAAGAUUACUAUAUAGAGUUAUCAUUUGAUAUUUCAGUAACUAGUGAAAAAAUGUGAACAUGGAUAUGAUUUUUUCUCUUAUGAUUAUUAAUAUAUGAAAUUAAUUUGGUACGACUAAGUUGUAGUGAUAAGGCUUGAAUUUGAGAAAGUGUUUUAGCAACCAAUAAACCAACAACAGUAAAUGAUAAGAUAAAAAAUAAAAAGAGAACAAGAUGCUGGACACCACUCCAAGUCCCUGUCAAAGGCUCGGAGCAUGCUUUCUUACUAGUCUUUCAUUGCACUUCCACAGCCAUGGCUGCUAGCGCUGGUUGAGACAAAGCCACCCAAAAAAUUGCAACCAUUGCCACCGAGCUCAAAUUCAAAAAAUGCAAACCCCAAAAUCUACUAUUAACCCCAUAACUAGUCUCCCUCCUUUCCUCCGCCACUUCUGCCGCCCAUUUCUUCGUCCUUCGCCACGAUCUCUUUCUCCUCCCUUCCUAGUGCCUCUCCCUUGAAUCCCUCCUCUCUUUCUUCUCCCUUCCCCUCAUCCCUUCCAUUUCCUCCUUCUCCUUCCCCUUGGUUCAACCGCUUCCCCUUUCUUCCCUCUUCUAUAUCUAACCCCUUCUGGCCCUACUUUUUCUGGAUGUCUAAAUACACUUUCUCUAGCUCCUUUCAACCUUUUCCCCUUCGUUUCCUCCCUCUUUUCCUCCCGAUUCCUAUCUUGCCGCCGCUCUCUUCCGCCUCGCCCACGGCGCCUCUUACCAAUUCCUCGCUCGUCGUUUCAGUUUUUCCUCCGUCAACCACCCCGUGCCUUCUACUUCGUAUGCAAGCUGGUCAACGAUAAAUUAGGCAGUUCCCUUGAUUUUCAAGCUGAUAUCAACCAUAUUGUGGUAGGUUUUGGGUAGAUUUCACUUCCCAAUUGCUGUGGCAUUUUGGGUUUUCGACGUUUCGAGGUUGAUGGUAGCUUAUCGGUUCAAAGGAGUCGGUUUUAGUUCAGGCAUUAGUGGACUCUGAAGGUAGAUUUUUGGAUAUCUCAGCUAGUUGGCCUUGUUCAGUAAAACCCGAAUCAAUUUUGCAUCAAGCGAAGCUUUUCUCACGUGUAGAGGAAUCAAAAGAGUUGUUAAACGGGCUUUGUUACAAGCUUGGUGACGGCGAUUUUGUUCCUCAAUACAUAUUGGGUCAUUCUUGUUUCCCUCUCUUGCCAUGACCUUGUUCAGUAAAACCCGUUAUGUGAGGUUCAAUGAGGAAGGAGAUAGUUUCAGUUCACCGGAGAAAAAGUUCAAUGCACCCCAGUCGAGCAAUGGGGCUGGUUGAGAUGGCGUUUUGGAGAGUUAGAGUUAGGUGGCAGGCCAUUAUUGCUCAGCAUUUGAAUCAGCUGAGUUUGAGAAAAUGAAUGCCAUAAGUAUGUGCUCGUAGAAUCAUUUCUGUAGUUUAUUAUCUCCUGGUAAAUUGUAUGUGAAUACUUCAAUUUUAUAUAGAAAUUGCUUUUAAUCUAGUUUGCUGGGUGAAAUAUGUUGAUAUAUUUGGAUCCAAGACAAUUUUGAAUGCACAUGGUGUAGGAAUCUAACGUAGGAUUGCUAGUUCAAAGGUUAUCUCUUAAAUGUUGCAAACUUGCUCACCUAUUGCAGAAAGCUGCUAGUUAGAGAAUUUUAGUUUAAAAUACUUCAUGUUUUAGUCACACACGAACACAAGCUUCUGUCUAAUUUCUUAACAAUAAGUUGGCGCAAAAAGUUGAAGUUCCACAAUUGCAAUUCUUCCUCUCAUUUAAGUAAGGAGAAAAAGAACAUAGAAACAGAGGCAUUAUAUGAACAGAGUGUGAUUGCUGGAAUAAAAAUUGACCCCUUCAUUUGGAAGCCAAUCCAUUUUCUGAUUAGCAUUCCAAAGAACAGCAUUUAGAAGACAUUACAAAGAAUACAUGGGAAACAACCAUGUUUUUGAUACCACUUACUUUCUCCUAACAUCAGAUAAAUUUGAAUUGAGUAACCUUAAAUCUGUCACAAAUGAAGUCCUUGUAUGUAGGUAGGUGCACAAAGAAAAGUCAUAUAUCAAAGGGAAAUAGUUAGUAACAUGCACAUAACCAGUCGGUAGAUUGUGUUAUCAAAGGUCACCAACUUUGCAGUUGGGACUUCAUCGAUAAAUUAUUUUACCUCAGAUUGAAGACAACAGAAGAGUUGUUUUAUCUCUUGACUCUUGCAAACCUGCCCAGCCAUGGUAGAAAGCUACUAUAUUAGUGAACUUCAGUUUACACAUUGUUCUUGUUUUAGUCAUACAUUAUCACAAGUUUCUUUCGAUCUGAAUAAUCCUUUAAGGGAAUGGAGAAAAAGAAACAUAGAAAAUAAAGAGAGACUUUAUGUGGAUUAAUUUUUUUUUUUUGCUAAGCCGACUUUAUAUGGAUCAUAACCUAGACUACCCUAAAUAAAGUUGACACUCUCAUUUCAAUGCUUCCAAAUUCUGGUUUGCAUUCCUAACAAAAUUAUUAGAGAAGACACUGCUAUAUAUCUACGCAUUAUGUGAGCAAUUUGAAUUAGUCAUUGUUGCAACAAUUCCUAUGUAAAAAAGGUUGACAAUGAAAGUUUCAUUGAGCAGAGGAAAUUGGUUAGUAACAGAAAUUGGUGACAAUGAAAGUUUCACUGAGCCAAGGAAAAUGGUUAGUAACACAAAUUGGUAACAUGCACAACAAAAAUUAGUAAAGGAGUUGCAUAUGUCAUGAUCAAUACUGUCAUUUGUAUUGUUAAGGAGCGAAUUUUGCCACUCAUAUUGUUCUAGAAGCGAUCCAAGCUUGCUAUUUGCAAAAUGAUUAAUUGGUCAAGAAACAUAUUAUAAUAGAUUUUCCAGGGACAGAAAUCAAGAGGGCCUUCAUUCAAAUUCUUAACAGGAAAGGUAAAAGGCUGAAGCUUUUUGGUGGAAAUGAAAAUCUAUUGGCUGCAUAUUUCAACAACGGAAUCCUCCGGGGAGAUUGUCUACUACAAAAUAGUAGCUAGAAGUGAUGCCCAUCUCGAUGUGAUAGAACCAUACUCGUCUCCAAUAAGGAUUUAUGUAAAGCACAACAGCAAUACCCAAUAGCACUAUUAUGUAAGACACAAUGAAACUCACAUAAAAGACAUCCAUGUCAAUUGAACCAUCGUCUUCACUAUUGUCAAUUGAUGUUCGUUCAAUUGCAGAGCAGUUAUUUCGCAAUAAUGCGCCACAAAGAAAAAGAUUUCCCAGGUAGCUGUUUUCAUCAAAUGUUGCAAAUUGUCCGGUCUCAAGCGUCUUUCCAGACAAGUUGUUGUACGACACAUUGAAAUAUGCCAAGAAAUGUAACUCUGCAAGUUGAGGAGGGAUUUUCCCGGUCAAGUUGUUGUAAGAAAGAUCUAGACUCUCAAUUUGUCUGAGAUUAGAAAACUCUAAUGGGAUUGAUCCUGUCAAAUUAUUGUGAGCUAGGUUCAACACAAUGAUGUUUAGGAAGUUUUUGACGUCAUGGGGAAUCUCACCAGUCAACUUGUUGUAAGAGAGAUCAAUUCCAGAUAGGUAUGUAAGGAUUUUUCCCUUGUAUGGGUAGGAUAUGUUUUUUGUUGUGAACUCUAUUGGCUCUUCAGCGGAGAAAGAAGAGCUAGGAGCUAUAGCGUCAACAGCACCGACAUAACGGACAUGAUCUUCGGAUAUAUUGUUCAGUGUUGUAACCUUCAGGCAAGGGGGAAUAAUCCCAAAAAGAUUAUUAUGAGAAAGAUCAAUCAAGCUUAAGUGACUCAACUUGCAUAACUGAAGUGGAAUCCUACCUUCAAAAUAGUUGUUAUUUAGGAGAAGAUAACUCAACUGAGAAAGCUUGCCAAUCCAAUUUGGAAUGUUUCCACUUAAGUGGUUAUUGCUGAGAUCUAAUAUCACCAAAUUAGAGCUGUUACGAAAUGCAUUUGCUAGCGGCCCUUGUAGCUUGUUUUUAGAUAAAUGAACAUGACUGAUCCUUAAAGGGUUGAAGCAAGAUGGCAGACUCCCCGAUAUAUUGUUCACUGAAAGGUCGAGAAAUUUAAGAUUAAGAUUGAGCUGGCAAAAUUCCAUGGGGAUUGGACCUUCAAGAUGAUCAUUUGCCAUGACGAUUGUUUCCAAACUUGACAUAUUCCCCAUCCACUUCGGUAUCCCACCAAAAAUUGUGUUAUUGCUUAAAUCUAAUAUAGACAAACUUGACAAAUUCUCCAUCCAUCUUGGUAUCUCAUCAAAGAGUUGAUUAUUGCUAACAUCCGAUAUUGACAAAUCUGAGCAAUUAGACAAACAAUCUGGGAUGCUUCCAGAGAAGUGAUUCCCAUCCACUUGCAACUCUCUCAAGUUUGUCAAGCUAAAAUUUGCAGAGAAAAUCUGGCCUUGCAAACUGUUGUUUGAUAAUAUAAGGGCACUUAAUGAGGAGCAACCCAUGGCCAAGUGUUCAGGUAAUCCACCGUCCAAUUUAUUGUUAGACAAAUCCAAGUAUUGUAGGAAAUUCAUAUCACCAACGGAAGCUGGAAUGCUACCGCCAAAAGAAUUUUUUGACAUGUUCAGAAACGUUAACGAUGGUAGUUUUGCUCCAAUGUCAAUUGAAAUGUUGCCACAGAAGGAAUUUAUGGAGAUAUCAAGAUGUGAUAAAUGCAAAUGUGAAAGGAAAGGUAGCUGAAAAUGUCCUAAAAGAGAGUUGUUGGCUAGAACAACUGUUUCUAAUUUUGUGUUGUUUUCCAACAACCAAUUUGGGAAUUCUCCUAUCAGCUUGAUGUUAGAGAGAUCAACAUACCUCAAGUCAUGUUGAUGAUAGAGGAAUUGAGGAAAUGAUCCACCAUCUCCACAACAAGAUAAACUGAUCUCAUGCAGUUGGAAUUUUGGGGCCAAAGGAUGCAUCUCGAUUUCAGCAUAUAUGGAAUUAUUAUCUGCAGAGAUGUACUUGAGUUUUGAAAGGUUGAAGAAGGGUCCUAAUGAGCUCGGGAUCCGAAAGUAAUUGUUUGAAAGAUCUAAACUUUCAAGGGAGGUCAGACUCUCAAGGACAGAUAUAUUUCCAAAAAGCUGAUUGAAAGAAAGAUCUAAACUUUCAAGGGACGUGAGGUUGG
rnacentral:lncRNA from 1 species